rnacentral:rRNA from 1 species
ACCCUCCGGGCCCUCCCGCGAGAAAUCAGGAGUAUUCGGGUUCCGGGGGAGUAUGGUCGCAAGGCCGAAACUUAAAGGAAUUGACGGAAGGGCACCACCAGGAGUGGAAUCUGCGGCUUAAUUUGACUCAACGCGGGAAAACUCACCAGGUCAGGACACGGUAAGGAUUGACGGACUGAAGGCUCUUUCUCGAUUCCGUGGAAAGUGGUGCAUGGCCGUUUUUGGUUGGUGGAUCGAUCCGUCUGGUUAAUUCCGUUAACGAACGAGACCUCGGCACUCCGAAUAGCGCGGCGGACGUCGCGGCCUCCGGGCCGUCUUCCGCACGAGCUUCUUAGAGGGACCGUCCCCCGCCGGGGAAGGAGGUGCGAGGCAACGACAGGUCUGUGAUGCCCUUAGAUGUUCUGGGCCGCACGCGCAUUACACUGACGCGUCCAACGGGUGACUCCCGACCCGAAGGGGCCGGGGAAUCCGCAAGGCGCGUCGUGAUGGGGAUUGAACGUUGCAAUUGUUGUUCACGAACGAGG